AUUGAACGCUGGCGGCAGGCCUAACACAUGCAAGUCGAGCGGCAGCGGGAAAGUAGCUUGCUACUUUUGCCGGCGAGCGGCGGACGGGUGAGUAAUGCCUGGGGAUCUGCCCAAUCGAGGGGGAUAACUACUGGAAACGGUAGCUAAUACCGCAUACGCCCUACGGGGGAAAGCAGGGGACCUUCGGGCCUUGCGCGAUUGGAUGAACCCAGGUGGGAUUAGCUAGUUGGUGAGGUAACGGCUCACCAAGGCGACGAUCCCUAGCUGGUCUGAGAGGAUGAUCAGCCACACUGGAAGUGAGACACGGUCCAGACUCCUACGGGAGGCAGCAGUGGGGAAUAUUGCACAAUGGGGGAAACCCUGAUUCAGCCAUGCCGCGUGUGUGAAGAAGGCCUUCGGGUUGUAAAGCACUUUCAGCGAGGAGGAAAGGUUGAUGCCUAAUACGUAUCAACUGUGACGUUACUCGCAGAAGAAGCACCGGCUAACUCCGUGCCAGCAGCCGCCGUAACAC
rnacentral:rRNA from 1 species